CUGAAACCGUGUACGUACAAGCAGUGGGAGCCCCACCACUAAGCCAGUGGUGAACUCCACAUACGCAUCCUUUGCUGAGGAUACGGUUAACGGAGCGAAAGCGACGUUCAACCGCAAAAGAAGCAGAGGGGGCUUAGUGGUGGGGUGACUGCGUACCUUUUGUAUAAUGGGUCAGCGACUUAUAUUCUGUAGCAAGGUUAACCGAAUAGGGGAGCCGGAGGGAAACCGAGUCUUAACCGGGCGUUAAGUUGCAGGGUAUAGACCCGAAACCCGGUGAUCUAGCCAUGGGCAGGUUGAAGGUUGGGUAACACUAACUGGAGGACCGAACCGACUAAUGUUGAAAAAUUAGCGGAUGACCUGUGGCUGGGGGUGAAAGGCCAAUCAAACCGGGAGAUAGCUGGUUCUCCCCGAAAGCUAUUUAGGUAGCGCCUCGUGAAUUCAUCUCCGGGGGUAGAGCACUGUUUCGGCUAGGGGGCCAUCCCGGCUUACCAACCCGAUGCAAACUGCGAAUACCGGAGAAUGUUAUCACGGGAGACACACGGCGGGUGCUAACGUCCGUCGUGAAGAGGGAAACAACCCAGACCGCCAGCUAAGGUCCCAAAGUCAUGGUUAAGUGGGAAACGAUGUGGGAAGGCCCAGACAGCCAGGAUGUUGGCUUAGAAGCAGCCAUCAUUUAAAGAAAGCGUAAUAGCUCACUGGUCGAGUCGGCCUGCGCGGAAGAUGUAACGGGGCUAAACCAUGCACCGAAGCUGCGGCAGCGAACGUAUCACUUAAAGCGAUUCAGCGGGUUACGAUUGACGGAGCGAAGCGACGUCAAAGCGUAUACAAAGUCGAGUCGGUUUAAGGAUACGUUCGUUGGGUAGGGGAGCGUUCUGUAAGCCUGUGAAGGUGGCCUGUGAGGGUUGCUGGAGGUAUCAGAAGUGCGAAUGCUGACAUAAGUAACGAU
rnacentral:rRNA from 1 species